UCCCGAGCGUUNUCCGGAUUUAUUGGGCGUAAAGCGAGCGCAGGCGGUUAGAUAAGUCCGAAGUUAAAGGCUGUGGCUUAACCAUAGUACGCUUUGGAAACUGUUUAACUUGAGUGCAGAAGGGGAGAGUGGAAUUCCAUGUGUAGCGGUGAAAUGCGUAGAUAUAUGGAGGANCACCGGUGGCGAAAGCGGCUCUCUGGUCUGUAACUGACGCUGAGGCUCGAAAGCGUGGGGAGCGAACAGGAUUAGAUACCCUGGUAGUCCACGCCGUAAACGAUGAGUGCUAGGUGUUAGGCCCUUUCCGGGGCUUAGUGCCGCAGCUAACGCAUUAAGCACUCCGCCCGGGGAGUACGACCGCAAGGUUGAAACUCAAAGGAAUUGACGGGGGCCCGCACAAGCGGUGGAGCAUGUGGUUUAAUUCGAAGCAACGCGAAGAACCUUACCAGGUCUUGACAUCCCGAUGCCCGCUCUAGAGAUAGAGUUUUACUUCGGUACAUCGGUGACAGGUGGUGCAUGGUUGUCGUCAGCUCGUGUCGUGAGAUGUUGGGUUAAGUCCCGCAACGAGCGCAACCCUUAUUGUUAGUUGCCAUCAUUCAGUUGGGCACUCUAGCGAGACUGCCGGUAAUAAACCGGAGGAAGGUGGGGAUGACGUCAAAUCAUCAUGCCCCUUAUGACCUGGGCUACACACGUGCUACAAUGGCUGGUACAACGAGUCGCAAGUCGGUGACGGCAAGCUAAUCUCUUAAAGCCAGUCUCAGUUCGGAUUGUAGGCUGCAACUCGCCUACAUGAAGUCGGAAUCGCUAGUAAUCGCGGAUCAGCACGCCGCGGUGAAUACGUUCCCGGGCCUUGUACACACCGCCCGUCACACCACGAGAGUUUGUAACACCCGAAGUCGGUGAGGUAACCUUUUAGGAGC
rnacentral:rRNA from 1 species